UCCUGCUUAGCUCAGUUGGUGGAGCGUUCCACUGGAAAUGGAGAGGUCUCAGGUUCGAUACCAGGACCAGGCG
rfam:Ixodes scapularis strain Wikel colony gcontig_1108379863938, whole genome shotgun sequence.